UACGGGGGGGGCAAGCGUUGUUCGGAAUACUGGGCGUAAAGGGCUCGUAGGCGGCCAACUAAGUCAGACGUGAAAUCCCUCGGCUUAACCGGGGAACUGCGUCUGAUACUGGAUGGCUUGAGUUUGGGAGAGGGAUGCGGAAUUCCAGGUGUAGCGGUGAAAUGCGUAGAUAUCUGGAGGAACACCUAUUGCGAAGGCAGCUCGCUGGGACGUAACUGACGCUGAGACGCGAAAGCGUGGGAGCAAACAGG
rnacentral:rRNA from 1 species